UGCCCGUGAAGCAUACAGUGUUCCUACAGGUAGCAUGGCUACAACUGAAAUGUGGUUGGCCUACUCUGCAACUAAGAGUUGAUGAUGUUUGAGCUGGAUGCAGGAGACGUUUUAAAUAUUUGUAAGCAAGAAAUGAAGUCAGAAGAGCAAAGGUGAGGGGUGCUCCUGUACAGGGAGGGAGGACAUGAAGGACGCCGACUAUGGCUUAUCCAGUGUGAAGACAACGACCCAUGGACAAGGACCACACCUUGGCCAGCAGCACCUCCAUGAGCUUUGGAUUCAGCAGGACGCCGAUCAACAUUGAUUCCUCCUGGAGAAAACACAAUCCACAGAGGCUUAGUAACACCUAUAGGGGGCAGCAGUGCACCUUCAGUCAGUGCUGCCCACACCCAAACUGCAGCUUGGAGCGCAGCCGAGGAACUGAUCCGACCCACUUUAAAUACAACAGACGUUGCUCACUGUACAGCUAUGUUGUAAGUUUGACCUGCACAGACUUCAGCCUGCUUGCAUGCCAUUUCCCAGCUGAUCUAAAGCUGGUGGCUUUCUGACCUUUCAGCUUGUAAACCCAAAAAUGAACCACGGCCAUCUGAAAAGUGAACUCUUGACUCCAAAUGUUGAAAUAUAUUCUUUCUUUUUUUCCCAGACAGUUCUAACAAGAUAAAAAACAGAACACGACAAGUCCGCAUUAAAACUAAAGGUGACUUUCCCAUGAGGUAGGCCAUAUUUUGAACUUUGUUUUGUUAUGUCACUGUUUUUUAAUACUUUUACAAGUGUGACUACCCAAUCAAUU